rnacentral:rRNA from 1 species
ACGUAGGCACCAAGCGUUGUCCGGAUUUAUUGGGCGUAAAGAGCUCGUAGGCGGUUCAGUAAGUCGGGUGUGAAAACUCUGGGCUUAACCCAGAGACGCCACUCGAUACUACUGUGACUAGAGUUCGGUAGGGGAGCGGGGAAUUCCUAGUGUAGCGGUGAAAUGCGCAGAUAUUAGGAGGAACACCGGUGGCGAAGGCGCCGCUCUGGGCCGAAACUGACGCUGAGGAGCGAAAGCGUGGGUAGCAAACAGGAUUAGAUACCCUGGUAGUCCACGCCGUAAACGGUGGGCACUAGGUGUGGGUUCCAACCAACGGAAUCCGCGCCGUCGCUAACGCAUUAAGUGCCCCGCCUGGGGAGUACGGCCGCAAGGUUA